ACGGAAGGCAGCAGUGGGGAAUUUUGCGCAAUGGGGGGAACCCUGACGCAGCAACGCCGCGUGCGGGACGGAGGCCUUCGGGCUGUAAACCGCUUUCAGCAGGGAAGACUUUGACGGUACCUGCAGAAGAAGCUCCGGCUAACUACGUGCCAGCAGCCGCGGUAAUACGUAGGGGGCGAGCGUUAUCCGGAUUCAUUGGGCGUAAAGCGCGCGUAGGCGGCUGCCUAAGCGGAGUUUCUAAUCUUGGGGCUCAACCUCAAGCCGGACUCCGAACUGGGCGGCUCGAGUGCGGUAGGGGCAGGCGGGAUUCCAUGUGUAGCGGUGAAAUGCGCAGAUAUAUGGAAGAACACCGAUGGCGAAGGCAGCCUGCUGGGCCGACACUGACGCUCAGGUGCGAAAGCUAGGGGAGCAAACAGGAUUAGAUACCCUGGUA
rnacentral:rRNA from 1 species